UGAAGAAGGUGCUUGCUUCCUUUGCCUUCCGCCAUGAUUAUAAGUCUCCUGAGGCCUCCCAGUCAUGAGUCCUGUUAAGCCUGCAGAACUAAGCAGAUGACGCACUCAAGGGGAUAAUGUUUUUAAUGUAACGAAUGGAACAAAAGAAUUAUUGCAGAGGUGAGGUCAAGGUGAAAGGAACCAAAGAGGACAUGAUGAAGCACCCAGAUCCAGCAAGAAUAGAAAGUCAUUACCUCUCCUUUGCUUGACAUGACAAAUAAAAAAAAAAAAAGACACAUAAUACCAGAACAUGAUAAGAAGUAAGAGCUAUGAUCACAGCAGAAGGGUCACUCAACAACAUCUGAAAUUAUAAGGAGAAGGAUAUACCUACUGCCAAGACCUAGCAGGAAGAUAAAAGGGGAGAAUACUUGGGCUACUUUUUCUAUUCAAACAACAAUUUCAUAGCUACUGCCAAGGCCUAGCAGGAAGAUAAAAGGGGAAAAUACUCUGGCUACUUUUUCCAUUCAAACAGCAAUCUCCCUCCUCCUCUCCCUCCUCUGUCUAGAAAUCCCCAGUGUCUCUUGUUUCCAUCUUUAUAUUUAUGUGUAUGCAUGUUUAGCUCCCGCUUGCAAGUAAGGAAAAACAUCCAUUGGGUAUUAUGCUCACUACGUGGGGGAUAGGAUCAUUUGUAUCCCAAACUUCAGUGUCACACAAUAUACCUACAAACCUGCACAUAUACC
rnacentral:lncRNA from 1 species